rnacentral:lncRNA from 1 species
AUUUCUUGUUGGUCGAGGUAGGAGCUUUAUUUUUUCCCCUGCUAAGAAUGUUUAGAUAAUUUUCUUCUUAUUAUUACUACAGAUGCCUGAUUUUUUGCAUCACCUUUUAGGGUAAUAGAAGAAGUGCGGGUUCUACAGAUGAAGAAAUGAAAUCAUUUCAAACAAACUUUUUAGACAAGGGUUUUGUGGAUACCUUUAGGAAACAGCACCAUGAAUCCAUGAUGUUGUGGGUUAUACUUAUUGGGGCUACAUGCACGGUGGACGAAAAACUAACAGAGGUAUCUCUCUCUUAGUUCUUGUAGCAUUUUUUGCUGCUUCAAUUCAC